rnacentral:lncRNA from 1 species
GCUGGGGUGGCUGGACUUCGGGCACACACUGGGCAGAGAAAAAUGCAGAAGGACUCCAGCACUGCCUGGAUGAAAAGAAAUUUUCAACAAUGCUUGCUGUUUUUCUGCACCUGGCACCUCAGACAGGCUUGGAAGAUGGAAGCAACAUCAGGGAAAUUACACCUAACAAGGUUCAUGCCCAGAUCUGUGAGGAGAGCCGCAUCCUAGCUCUCUGAAAAACCGUCCCUCCUGCAGUGGUGAACUUGAGUCUCCCACACAAUGCAAGAGAGCUCCAGCGCACAGUUCUAUGGCGUUAUUUCCACGCUGAUAAAUUCAUGAUUUAUGAAAGUAACUCCUGCCAGCUCCCACUCCCUCCUUCCCUGCUACAGUUUGUUAGACACAAAUUGCAACAACAGUCUUAAAUACUCGCAGUUUAUUUCAGGCCAAAGCCCCUCAACUCUCAACGAGGUGCCACUACGAUCCCGCAACGCAGGCCAGGAGUACCUGGGCUGGGGUGGACCCACAGCCACGGUGGAUGGCCAGAUGGGGAGAAACACACAAGCCUAAACUGUGCAGCAGCACCGUGGCAAGCCGGGCACACAGCGCGCCCUAGCCCUCCAGCCAGCCGCCUCUGCUGUCUGCAGAUUUCAGCAGCAGGAGGCAGGAGCCGCCUCACCGUCUGAAGGAGAGCUUAUGGCUCCUGAGCUCCAUCUCCAGAGCCCUCGCUUUCAGGCUGAAACAGAGCCUGUGUGCCCCACUGACUGAACUUGCUGGCUUCCCAGGAAAACAGCAGUAGGCCCUGGCAGCCAAAGCC